AAGUAAGCAACCUUUAUACUUAUUGGGUGUGUUAAAAUUUUUGUUAUGGCUCAGGAAAUUGAGGGGAAUAGAUAAUAGAAAAUUUUCACACUUAGGAACUUAACUUAAAAUAAAUAUAUAUUAUAAUAAUUUUUUUUUUUUUUUCAUAAUAAGAAAGGGAAAUAACAAUGAAAGGGAAAAUAGCAUACUUGAAAAAAAAUGAGAAUGGAAAGAAUAUUGUUUCCCCCCCAUACUUAAACUAAACAUUGUCCUCAAUGUUUUAAGGAAAUGAAAUACAAGAUGGAAAGGAAAAAGAAAAUAACAACUAAGGCUGCCUUCCGCCUCUGGUUCUUGGACCUGGUGAUCUUUGACGUAUGUCUAAGCUGUCGAAUCUGCUAAACAACUCAGUAAACCGCUGGUCGGUUAUGGCAUUCCGAGCAUCCUGUUGCUGUUGCAUUUGACGCAUCAUCUGCAUCAU
rnacentral:lncRNA from 1 species